ACAAAAUCCAAAACCCCUCAGUCACACGGGUGGUAUUUCCUUACGAUGUCCGCCGCCAGGUGUUUGCUGCGCUCCGCAGCCUCCAGAGCAGCCGGUGCGGCGAAUCUGGCUGCCGGAGCUAGGCCGAGACCCACUCGAUCUCCGUUUCGGCUCCCAAAGCAAACCUCAAUCUCAAAUCGCGCUUUCAGGUUGCCGGUAGAAGCGAGUUGCUGCGUUGAAUCGAUGCUUCCUUAUCACAGUGCCACCGCUUCCGCAUUGCUGAAUUCAAUGCUCUCUGUUUCUCGCCACUCCUACGGUUGGACCCCUGAAGAUUGCAAUGAUGAUGUAUGAUGCAUGACAGAGGGUUCGAGCAAGGUUUUAUGUAGAUGCACUCUAAAAAAGAUGGAUGAUUGCUGUUUGUGGGUGCGGUGCAUCUGCGCGUACUUUCUAUGGAUUUCAGUUUACUUUAUUAGUCCCGCUUAGAGAAUUUUCUCCUUGGUUGAAUAUGAAAACUCGCAAGACUUAAAACUGUACAAGCAUCCGGAGCUGGUAUCAUGCUUAGGUAUGAUUGUUAUUUUAUUUCAAACAUCCUUGCAACAAUUCUAUACUUGCGAAUUACAAUGAUUUAUUUCACCCUGUUCUUGGAAAUGGUUUACUACACGAGUGUACCACUCGUUACCCUGAUUGUCAAUGUUUAUACAAGCGUGCUUUAGACCAAUCUCAGUAACUACUACAGAUUAGCACAAUCAAUUAAGAAGUCAACCGAUUAUUUGGA